rnacentral:rRNA from 1 species
UACAGAGGGUGCGAGCGUUAAUCGGAAUUACUGGGCGUAAAGCGUGCGUAGACGGUAGCGUAAGUCAGAUGUGAAAGCCCCGGGCUCAACCUGGGAACUGCAUUUGAGACUGCUCUGCUCGGGUGCGGAAGAGUGAAGCGGAAUUUCCGGUGUAGCGGUGAAAUGCGUAGAUAUCGGAAGGAACACCAGUGGCGAAGGCGGCUACCUGGACCAGCACUGACACUGAAGCACGAAAGCGUGGGGAGCAAACAGG